rnacentral:lncRNA from 1 species
GUGGGAAGAAGAGACGUGGGAGAGAGAGGAGGUGAGAUGGGGAGAAGAGAAGGCAGAGUAAGGACGGCGCGGAUUCCGGCGGUGGCUCCGGUUGGCGGAUCCAGGUAUGUGUCCCGAUUCCUCUCCUCCCUGUAAAAAACGUAUGUCGCAUCGUCGCUAACUGCUAGAGAUGCCCUUCAUAAGUUCAUCUUGUGGUCAACAACAACCCCCAGAUCGCGUGAGAGUUCAGUGGCAUGGGCAUGCUCUCCCCUGAUUGAUUUUGUAUCAAAGAUUUUGUUGUGGCGUGUGGGCAGCACCCAUGAGUGUUGGAAGUACAUGUUCUAUAUACAUAACAACUUCUCUGGUGACUUACUCAUCUAAUGGUCAGAUACAAUUUUAGCAACAGUGAAUAGCCGCCUGAUAGUUUUGUUAUCUACUUCUGAAUGUUCAUAAUGUGUAAAACGAAUCAAUUUUACUAUGAUUUUACUUGAGAAGUUGAAUCUGCAAAGUCUUGAGAGCAUUGACUAUAUACUCCAACACUGCAGGCCAACUCUUGAUGGAUUUCCAAUGUGCUGGUGGCCUCCGAAUUUUUUUUGUCGUGUAGCCGCUCCCCAUCUCAGCGUGUGCUAUCCACGGAAGCCGGCUCCUCCACUCAGGCCCUCCUCUGCAAACGCCGACGAGGACGCUACUUCAUCUGAACCGAUCUUCACGACCACGUGCAGGUAUACACAUGUGCUCCCCUGCCACCCCUGCACUGAUUUAAGGCGAAAUCCAAUUGAGAGUUAUUGAUAGGCACCAAUGUAUUCUUGGUUCAGUUCCCCUGUCUUGAAUUACGUUGAUCCUUUUGGUAAGAUCAAACUGAACAUGCUGAACAUCACUUGCCCAAACAAGUUGAACGCCUUGCUACAUUAUUGCCCAAUUUUGUAAAAUUGAUCAUAGCACUCCUGCUAUCAUGUCAUGUUUGCUAAUACUUAUUGAGCCAUAAAACAGUGUUUUCUGUUUAUAAGCUAGCCCUUCUUAUUAUGUUUCAGAAGAUCGAUAGUACCCAUUACAUUACUACAGUAUAGUGUAAUAUGAGAAACUGAGUUUUGGUUGCCAAGCAAAUGUUUGUGCUAAUUCCCACAAGAUAUUUGUGUUUGAAGAAUUAUUACUUUAUCAGGGAAAUAUCUUUUAUAUGGCUUCAUGAAAUCAGGAAAUUGAUUAAGCGGCAUAGGAAAUUGAUUUAGCACUACCUCAUUAAACAUGAAGACUUAUUUUUGAUUUCGUGUUGAUGUUUCAGAUGGAAUUUUUUUUCAUAUGACAUCAGGGAUGUAGGAUGAUUGGGUGAACAAGCUUCCUGUGAAACAUCCAGAUCCCGGUGGCGGUGCCUCCAUUCAGCAUCCCACGUGGCGACGUCCUCCGGUAUAAUGGCAAACACCGGCAGGGGAGAGAGCAGAGCGGGAGGGGUAUUGGGUUAAACAGAGUUGUGGGCAUUGCCCGUGCCAUGAUUGUGGUUAAUACCCACAGGAGAUUCUAUUCCUGUGAGCGGAUUAAACAGAGUUGAGUAAACAUCAUCCAUAGGAGGAUACAUGUGCUAAUUAAGUUUAGAGGAGAAAGUGGUUCUUUAUUCUUGCAAUUUUGGUGCAGAUGUCAUACAGGGGCAGAGAACAAUGGUCUUCUGGGAAUGCCUGUUAACUUUUUGGAGCUGCCAGGUAAAUUUUGGUACGAAUUUAUGUUAGUUCUACCUUUCCAUGAUGUUUAAUUGCUUGGUUCUUAAGGGUUUGUAAGAGGAGAUGGAUUUUGGACUACUCUAUUUCGGAUGCCACAGAUUUGCAGAUGAAAAAUAAAAGAGUGUGCAUGGUGUUUUUUUUCUUACAGAAUACUUUUAUAUGCCAUGUUCUAUUUUGCUUCAGAUUUAGGACUAUUUGGUCUGCUACAAAAUCCAUGUUUUCAACUGCAAAAUUUCAGUUUUAUUAUUAUCAUGUUUACUAUUUUUCGGUAGUAAUAUAUAACACGUCGCUGGUGAAAAGCCUACUGGAAAGAUUAAUUAGUCAAUAAUGUUGUCUUAAGAACAAUAGUAUUUGGCUCGAAGUAUAGGGACUGUCAAUUUUUUUAUGCUCCAGAAAAUACAAUUGCAAGGUACAGAAUAGUUGCCACUUAGUUUGGAUUUUAGUUAAAAGUGUAGACAUGUUAGUAACACUAUAAAGUUGGACAAUAAAUGAAGUCGACUACAUCCGAGCGAACUUAUCUUGCUUCCAAGAAGAGUAAAAUCAUCUUUAAUAAUUUCCUGGGUUUUGCUUAUGUUCAUGUUUGGAAUGUCGUUUCCUCCAAAAUGCAGCAUUUACCUAUCAUUUGGAGUACAAGAUGCAUUUUUUAUCAGUUGCUGACUAAGAAAACACUUUUCUGAUAAAAACGCUACCCUUCAGUUAGACUUAAUUAAUUGCCUUCUAGACAUGUUGGGG